AGCACUAUUUAAGAGGAGGCCCAUUGAAAGAGUGACAACCAGCAAGCUUUGCACAGUCAAGAAGGAGAGAUCAUACUGGGAGUGAGGCACAGCAUGUUGCCAGACCUGCUGAGCUUUUCCAGCAACUUCUGUGAAAGAGAAAUGGGAUUUCGUGCAGGAAAGGAGAUAUUUCCUAAUCACCCUGUUCAGAGGUCUUAUGACAUAUCUCUGGAGCAGAAGGGACUUGACACUGGCUUCCUGGCUUAGAGCCAGAAGAGAACUCAACUUUCAAG